UCAAACUUGGUCAUUUAGAGGAAGUAAAAGUCGUAACAAGGUUUCCGUAGGUGAACCUGCGGAAGGAUCAUCACUGAUUCGGGGGCAGCCGGUGUGGGAAACCACGCUGCGCGUCCCCAACCAAUCUUGUGUGAACCGUAACGCGAGCACUACGUGUGAAAGAGAGGUUGGCGGUUCGGGGGGAGACCACCGCCGCCACCAUCACACGAGUAUUAACUCCUUACAAUCUUGACUAACAUUACACUAAAUUACACACACAACUUUUAACAAUGGAUCUCUUGGCUCUCGCAUCGAUGAAGAACGCAGC
rnacentral:misc_RNA from 1 species